GACGAACGCUGGCGGCGUGCUUAACACAUGCAAGUCGAACGGAAAGGCCCUGCUUUUGUGGGGUGCCCGAGUGGCGAACGCGUGAGUAACACGUGAGUAUCCUGCCCUUGACUUUGGUAUAACUUCAGGUAACUGGGGCUACUAUCGGAUAGGAGCUCCUGCUGCAUGGUGGGGGUUGGAACGUUUCGGCGGGUGGGGUUGGACUGGCGGCUUAUCAGCUUGUUGGUGGGGGAGUGGCUUACCAAGGCGUUGAGGGGUAGCCGGCCUGAGAGGGUGACAGGCGACAUAGGGACUGAGAUGAGGCACAGGCGGCUAAGGGAGGCAGCAGUGGGGAAUAUUGAACAAGGGGCGGAAGGCUGAUGCAGAAAGGCUGCGUGUGGGAAAACGGCCUUCGGGGUGAAGAAAGGUUUCGCCUGUGACGAAGGGUGAGUGAAGGUAAUGGAUAGAGAAACACCGGCUAACUACGUG
rnacentral:rRNA from 1 species